GAUGAACGCUAGCUACAGGCUUAACACAUGCAAGUCGAGGGGAAACGACAUCGAAAGCUUGCUUUUGAUGGGCGUCGACCGGCGCACGGGUGAGUAACGCGUAUCCAACCUGCCCAUCACUUGGGAAUAACCUUGCGAAAGUAAGACUAAUACCCAAUGAUAUCCCACGAAGGCAUCGGAAUGGGAUUAAAGGUUUAUCGGUGAUGGAUGGGGAUGCGUCUGAUGAGCUUGUUGGCGGGGUAACGGCUCACGAAGGCAACGAUCAGUAGGGGUUCUGAGAGGAAGGUGCCCCAGAUUGGAACUGGGACACGGUCGAAACUGCUACGGGAGGCAGCAGUGAGGAAUACUGGUCAAUGGGAGAGAGCCUGAACCAGGCAAGUAGCGUGCAGGAAGACCGCCCUAGGGGUUGUAAACUGCUGUUAGAAGGGAAUAAAGUGGGUCAAGGGUGACUUUUUGCAGGUACCUUAUGAAUAAGGACCGGCUAACUACGUG
rnacentral:rRNA from 1 species